CCGCGCCCCUCCCUUCCUUCCCUGCCGCGCCCGACGCCAGUGGUCCGCGCCCCUCCCUAGCCACGCCGAGAUCUCCGUCGAUUCGAGAUGCCCGCGUGCAGCCCCCUACCUGAGAUCGACGUCGAUUUGGCAUGUCGGGAGGUCCGCUCCCCACCCAACCCCCGAGAUCGCUGUCAUUGUCCCCCCUCCCUACUCCAACCCCACGCUCCCACCAUCACUUGCUCGCGUCGCGCUCCGCCGAGGCCAUAUACAAAAAGCUGCCGACGACGCAGACAAGGAAAGCGUGGGGGUCCAGGGCGCCGAGCAGCGCCGGGAGGAACGAGCGGGGGGAGCUCCUGCCGCUGACGCGCAGCGAGUCCACCAGCGCGGAGGGGUCCAUGUUCGCGCAUGCCGUGGCGAUGGCUUUCACCAGAGCCGACGACGUCUCCCCCCUGCCUGCGGCGUGCGGAUGUUGCUGCCUUUUCCUCCGCCUCGUCCUCACGGCCUUCUCUGUCUACGCUCCCGUUGACGGCCUCCUCCUCCACUACCAUCUCGAUGUCAUCAUUGCGUUGGUGGGGAGACGCCACGGCUGUCCCGUGUCAUCUCCUUCUCGUCGUUUAAUCAGAUGUGCUAUUUGCGCGUGCUAACAGCACAUUUCAGUUUCUUACUCUCACAACAUCGAGUAAGACACUUAGGUAUAUUAGAAUAGUACACUUUUCGUUUUAAUUUUUUAGAACAAUUACUGAUGAAACAAACAACACUUUCUAUCUUUACUACUCCUUUAAGAACAUACUGUAGGCGUCCACAUCUGGUGCGGUUCUGCCUCCCGAGGCCGCGACGCCCCCAUCCCUCACACCGCGCAUCGUCGUCUACUUCCCGCCCAUCCCACUGCCGCGUCCGCCCCCUCCCCCACCGAAGGAAUCCCCGCGGACUCCGCCCUGGCUCCCGAGAACGCGAUCCACUCUCCUCUCUCCCUCAAUCCCCGCUUCCUUUCAUGGAUUGGGAUCUCAAGACGCCGGUCUCCUGGGACCUGCCCGACCUAGAGCAGGCGGCACACCUCCACCGUACCUCCUCCUCUCCCCAUCACCGCGCCCCUCCCUCGCCGCACACCUCCACCGCGCCCCUCCCCCAGACCGAACUCAAAUAUCAAGAACAUUCCAAGCUUUGGCAUUCCAGACAAGUGCUCUUUCGAGGAAUUGAGGACAAUCCUCAAGUCAAAAAGAUUAGGUGUAUAUCCAUCCCUCGACAGCAUGGAACACACCAGAUGGUGACUUUGCCAGAACAUCUUCCUGAGCAUGAGUUUUUAAUGAUCUUCAACCCUUGGGAUGGAUGCAUACAUAGCCAAAUGAAGAUCCACAGCUAUCGCCGAUCUAACAUCACAUGCCAAGAUUCUGGAGAACAACAAACAAUGGGAUGGUGAGAAGUGCAUCAUUCUGGAAUGUAGUUUCACCCCAGGAUCUUGUUCAUUGACUGCUUACAAGCUGGCACCAAGCGGUUUUGAGUGGCCAAGUGGGGACGCAACAACAAGGACAAUGGAAGCAACCCACAUGGAUACCUUCCAAUUCAUUACAAGAAUGUCCAGAUGCUUCUGAGCGAUAACUUCCUUAGUUUCUACAUGAUUCUAGAUAACACCCCUUGGAAUUUCAACUUCAUGUGAGUGAAGCACGACCCACAGAUGAAGUACAACAUGAAGCUGGGCAUGCCGCAGGACAUUUAUCACGAGGACCAUAGGCCGACACACUUCCUUGAGUUCAGCAACAUUGAGGGAGAGGUCGCUGAAGCUGAUAGGGAGGACACAUUCACGUAGGUGCCUGUUCAAAAUUGUAUCUCAAACGCACUUAGCUCUAUUUUGAAUGGCAAUGUGUGAAAGUUGUAACCUGCCCCGAUGGGUGUCAUUUGUUGUUUGGCUUAAUCCUGUAUUAUACUUGCUGUAAGACAGCCUUAGAGAGGGGGAAAUUGUACAAGUGCACGGGAUGACAAGAGUAAAGAUUUUGCAUAGU